GAUGAACGCUGGCGGCGUGCCUAAUACAUGCAAGUCGAGCGAACAGAUAAGGAGCUUGCUCCUUUGACGUUAGCGGCGGACGGGUGAGUAACACGUGGAUAACCUACCUAUAAGACUGGGAUAACUUCGGGAAACCGGAGCUAAUACCGGAUAACAUAUUGAACCGCAUGGUUCAAUAGUGAAAGGCGGCUUUGCUGUCACUUAUAGAUGGAUCCGCGCCGUAUUAGCUAGUUGGUAAGGUAACGGCUUACCAAGGCAACGAUACGUAGCCGACCUGAGAGGGUGAUCGGCCACACUGGAACUGAGACACGGUCAAGACUCCUGCGGGAGGCAGCAGUAGGGAAUCUUCCGCAAUGGGCGAAAGCCUGACGGAGCAACGCCGCGUGAGUGAUGAAGGUCUUCGGAUCGUAAAACUCUGUUAUCAGGGAAGAACAAAUGUGUAAGUAACUGUGCACAUCUUGACGGUACCUGAUCAGAAAGCCACGGCUAACUACGUG
rnacentral:rRNA from 1 species